rnacentral:rRNA from 1 species
GGUGAAAAGCACCCCGGAAGGGGAGUGAAAUAGAACCUGAAACCGUGUGCUUACAAGUAGUCAGAGCCCGUUAAUGGGUGAUGGCGUGCCUUUUGUAGAAUGAACCGGCGAGUUACGAUUUGAUGCAAGGUUAAGCAGUAAAUGUGGAGCCGUAGCGAAAGCGAGUCUGAAUAGGGCGUUUAGUAUUUGGUCGUAGACCCGAAACCAGGUGAUCUACCCUUGGUCAGGUUGAAGUUCAGGUAACACUGAAUGGAGGACCGAACCGACUUACGUUGAAAAGUGAGCGGAUGAACUGAGGGUAGCGGAGAAAUUCCAAUCGAACCUGGAGAUAGCUGGUUCUCUCCGAAAUAGCUUUAGGGCUAGCCUCAAGUGAUGAUUAUUGGAGGUAGAGCACUGUUUGGACGAGGGGCCCCUCUCGGGUUACCGAAUUCAGACAAACUCCGAAUGCCAAUUAAUUUAACUUGGGAGUCAGAACAUGGGUGAUAAGGUCCGUGUUCGAAAGGGAAACAGCCCAGACCACCAGCUAAGGUCCCAAAAUAUAUGUUAAGUGGAAAAGGAUGUGGCGUUGCCCAGACAACUAGGAUGUUGGCUUAGAAGCAGCCAUCAUUUAAAGAGUGCGUAAUAGCUCACUAGUCGAGUGACACUGCGCCGAAAAUGUACCGGGGCUAAACAUAUUACCGAAGCUGUGGAUUGUCCUUUGGACAAUGGUAGGAGAGCGUUCUAAGGGCGUUGAAGCAUGAUCGUAAGGACAUGUGGAGCGCUUAGAAGUGAGAAUGCCGGUGUGAGUAGCGAAAGACGGGUGAGAAUCCCGUCCACCGAUUGACUAAGGUUUCCAGAGGAAGGCUCGUCCGCUCUGGGUUAGUCGGGUCCUAAGCUGAGGCCGACAGGCGUAGGCGAUGGAUAACAGGUUGAUAUUCCUGUACCACCUAUAAUCGUUUUAAUCGAUGGGGGGACGCAGUAGGAUAGGCGAAGCGUGCGAUUGGAUUGCACGUCUAAGCAGUAAGGCUGAGUAUUAGGCAAAUCCGGUACUCAUUAAGGCUGAGCUGUGAUGGGGAGAAGACAUUGUGUCUUCGAGUCGUUGAUUUCACACUGCCGAGAAAAGCCUCUAGAUAGAAAAUAGGUGCCCGUACCGCAAACCGACACAGGUAGUCAAGAUGAGAAUUCUAAGGUGAGCGAGCGAACUCUCGUUAAGGAACUCGGCAAAAUGACCCCGUAACUUCGGGAGAAGGGGUGCUCUUUAGGGUUAACGCCCAGAAGAGCCGCAGUGAAUAGGCCCAAGCGACUGUUUAUCAAAAACACAGGUCUCUGCUAAACCGUAAGGUGAUGUAUAGGGGCUGACGCCUGCCCGGUGCUGGAAGGUUAAGAGGAGUGGUUAGCUUCUGCGAAGCUACGAAUCGAAGCCCCAGUAAACGGCGGCCGUAACUAUAACGGUCCUAAGGUAGCGAAAUUCCUUGUCGGGUAAGUUCCGACCCGCACGAAAGGCGUAACGAUUUGGGCACUGUCUCAACGAGAGACUCGGUGAAAUCAUAGUACCUGUGAAGAUGCAGGUUACCCGCGACAGGACGGAAAGACCCCGUGGAGCUUUACUGUAGCCUGAUAUUGAAAUUCGGCACAGCUUGUACAGGAUAGGUAGGAGCCUUUGAAACGUGAGCGCUAGCUUACGUGGAGGCGCUGGUGGGAUACUACCCUAGCUGUGUUGGCUUUCUAACCCGCACCACUUAUCGUGGUGGGAGACAGUGUCAGGCGGGCAGUUUGACUGGGGCGGUCGCCUCCUAAAAGGUAACGGAGGCGCUCAAAGGUUCCCUCAGAAUGGUUGGAAAUCAUUCAUAGAGUGUAAAGGCAUAAGGGAGCUUGACUGCGAGACCUACAAGUCGAGCAGGGUCGAAAGACGGACUUAGUGAUCCGGUGGUUCCGCAUGGAAGGGCCAUCGCUCAACGGAUAAAAGCUACCCCGGGGAUAACAGGCUUAUCUCCCCCAAGAGUUCACAUCGACGGGGAGGUUUGGCACCUCGAUGUCGGCUCAUCGCAUCCUGGGGCUGUAGUCGGUCCCAAGGGUUGGGCUGUUCGCCCAUUAAAGCGGUACGCGAGCUGGGUUCAGAACGUCGUGAGACAGUUCGGUCCCUAUCCGUCGUGGGCGUAGGAAAUUUGAGAGGAGCUGUCCUUAGUACGAGAGGACCG